rnacentral:rRNA from 1 species
GGUUGGGUGAUUUUACCCGUAAUACUGUGUGUUGUUAAGAUUGGCUAAGUCUGAAUAAUUCUAAGUGCCAGGCUGUGUGUGUGCGAAAAAGUGAGGCUGAGUGGCUGUGUGAUUAGCUACUGUCGUGCAGUGUCAAUAAUGUGAAAAAUUGGCCCUGUAACACCUACCAUGGUAGUGAUGGGUGACGGAGAAUUAGUGUUCGAUUCCGGAGAGGGAGCCUGAGAAAUGGCUACCACAUCCAAGGAAGGCAGCAGGCACGCAAAUUACCCAAUACUGGCAUGGGGAGGUAGUGACAAUAAAUAACAAUACCGGGCUCUAUGGGUCUAGUAAUAUGAAUGAGUACAAUCUAAAUCCCUUAACGAGGAUCUAUUGGAGGGCAAGUCUGGUGCAAACAGCCGCGCUAAUUCCAGCUCCAAUAGCGUAUAUUUAAGUUGUUGCAGUUAAAAAACUCGUAGUUGGAUUUUGGGAUGGGCCGGCUGGUCCGCCUUAGGUGUGCACCGGUUGUCUCAUCCCUUCGGCGGGCGAUGCACUCCUGUCCUUAAUUAGCUGUGUCAUGCCUCCGGUGCUGUUACUUUGAAGAAAUUAGAGUGCUCAAAGCAAGCCUACGCUCUGUAUACAUUAUUAUGGGAUAACAUUAUAGGAUUUCGAUCAUAUUACAUUGGCCUUCGGGAUCAGAGUAAUAAUUAAUAGGGACAAUCGGGGGCAUUCGUAUUUAUUAGUCAGAGGUGAAAUUCUUGGAUUUAUGAAAGAUGAACAACUGCGAAAGCAUUUUCCAGGGAUGUUUUCCUUAAUCACGAAAGAAAGUUGGGGGCUCGAGGACGAUCAGAUACCAUCCUAGUCUCAACCAUAAACGAUGCCGACCAGGGAUCGGCGGAUGUUACUUUAAGGUCUCCGCCGGCACCUUAUCAAAAAUCAAAGUUUUUGGGCUCUGGGGGAAGUAUGGUCGCAAGACUGAAACUUAAAGGAAUUGACCAAAAGGCAACACCAAAAGUGGAGCCUGCGGCUUAAUUUGACUCAACACGGGGAAACAUACCAGGUCCAGACAUAGUAAGGAUUGAUAGACUGAGAGCUCUUUCUUGAUUCUAUGGUUGGUGGUGCAUUGGCUGUUCUUAGUUAGUAAAACGAUUUCUCUGGUUAAUUUUGUUAACGAAUGAGACCUCAGCCUGCUAACUAGCUAUGCGGAGGUAUCCCUUCGUAACCAGCUUCUUAGAGGGACUACAGUCAUUUAGGUCGCGGAAGUUUGAGGCAAUAAUAGGUCUGUGAUUCCCUUAGAUGUUCUUGGCCGCACGCGCGCUACACUGAUGUAUUCAACGAGUUUAUAGCCUUGGCUGACAGGCCCGACUAAUCUUUGAAAUUUCAUCGUGAUGGGGAUAGAUCAUUGUAAUUGUUGGUCUUCAACGAGGAAUUCCUAGUAUGUGUGAGUCAUCAGCUCGCGUUGACUACGUCCCUACCCUUUGUACACAUCACCCGUCGCUCCUACCGAUUAAAUGAUCCAGUGAAAUGUUCAGAUCACAACAACGUGGGCGGUUCGCUUCCCGCGACGUCAUGAGAAGUCCAUUGAACCUUAUCAUUUAGAGGAAGGAGAAGUUGUAACAAGGUUUCCGUAGGUGAACCUGUGGAAG